rnacentral:tRNA from 1 species
AUUGAAAUAGCUUAAAUAGAGUGCUAUAUUGAAGCUAUAGAGGUGGUUUAUCUUUUAAUA